AUAGAGCUAAUACAUGCAAAUACUCUUGACCGCAAGGAAAAGAGGCACUUAUUAGAUUACAAACCAAUCCAUGUAAAAGUGGCAACUGGUGAUUCAUAGUAAGGUUGGAAAUCGUAUGGGGGCAACUCUGACGAUAUAUCAUUCAAAUUUCUGCCCUAUCAACUUUGGAUGGUAGUAUAGAGGACUACCAUGGUGAUAACGGGUAACGGAGAAUUAGGGUUCGAUUCCGGAGAGGGAGCCUGAGAAAUGGCUACCACUUCUAAGGAGGGCAGCAGGCGCGCAAAUUACCCAAUCCUAAUACGGGGAGGUAGUGACAAUAAAUAACAAUGCUGGUACUUAAAGUAUUAGUAAUUGGAAUGAGAACAAUUUAAACCCCUUAUCGAGUACCAUCAGAGGGCAAGUCUGGUGCCAGCAGCCGCGGUAAUUCCAGCUCUGAUAGCGUAUAUUAAAGUUGUUGCAGUUAAAAAGCUCGUAGUUGGAUUUUAGGAUUUCGUUGCGAUGGUCGGCUAUGAUAAAUAGUCUUGUACUGUUGUGACAAUCUUUUCCUACUGGUUACUCGACUCUGUACUUUAUUGGAUGGAGUAGUGUCGCAAGGCAUCGUUUGGUGCUAUAUUGCUUCUGAGUGUAGUAAUUGGGUCAAACUGGUUAUGAAAUUCAGGGGAUCACAGUAUGGUAUUAAAUGGGGUUCCAGUUCGUUUACUUUGAGUAAAUUAGAGUGUUCAAAGCAGCCUUUUGGGGCAUUGAAUAGAUUAGCAUGGGAUAAUAGAAUAGGACUCUUGUCUAUUUAUUGGUUUAUAGAUUUAGAGGAAUGAUUAAUAGGGAUAGUUGGGGGCACUUGUAUUCAAUAGUCAGAGGUGAAAUUCUAGGAUUUAUUGAAGACAAACUUCAGCGAAAGCAUUUGCCAAGGAUGUUUUCAUUAAUCAAGAACGAAAGUUAGGGGAUCGAAGACGAUUAGACACCGUCGUAGUCUUAACCAUAAACUAUGCCGACCAGGGAUACGAGGGUAUAUUAUAAUUUAUAUUGUGAAAAACAAUAUUAUCCUUUGUGCACCUUGUGAGAAAUCAUAAGUUUUUGGGUUCUGGGGGGAGUAUGGUCGCAAGGCUGAAACUUAAAGGAAUUGACGGAGGGGCACCACCAGGAGUGGAGCCUGCGGCUUAAUUUGACCCAACACGGGAAAACUUACCAGGUCCAGACAUUUGAAGGAUUGACAGGUUGAUAGCCCUUUCAUGAUUAAAUGGGUGGUGGUGCAUGGCCGUUCG
rnacentral:rRNA from 1 species